GACGAACGCUGGCGGCGUGCUUAACACAUGCAAGUCGAACGGUAAGGCCCUUCGGGGUACACGAGUGGCGAACGGGUGAGUAACACGUGGGUGAUCUGCCCUGCACUUCGGGAUAAGCCUGGGAAACUGGGUCUAAUACCGGAUAGGACUCCUGGCUUCAUGGUUGGUGGUGGAAAGCUUUUGCGGUGUGGGAUGGGCCCGCGGCCUAUCAGCUUGUUGGUGGGGUGAUGGCCUACCAAGGCGACGACGGGUAGCCGGCCUGAGAGGGUGACCGGCCACACUGGGACUGAGAUACGGCCCAGACUCCUACGGGAGGCAGCAGUGGGGAAUAUUGCACAGUGGGCGCAAGCCUGAUGCAGCGACGCCGCGUGAGGGAUGACGGCCUUCGGGUUGUAAACCUCUUUCAGCACCGACGAAGCGCAAGUGACGGUAGGUGCAGAAGAAGGACCGGCCAACUACGUGCCAGCCGCCGCCGUAA
rnacentral:rRNA from 1 species